rnacentral:rRNA from 1 species
ACGCACGCUGGCGGCGUGCUUCACACCUGCAAGUCGAACGGUGAAGCGCCUUCCUUUUUGGUGGGUGUGGAUGAGUGGCGAACGGGUGAGUAACACGUGAGUAACCUGCCCCCUUCUUCUGGAUAACCGCAUGAAAGUGUGGCUAAUACGGGAUAUUCUGGGUCUGUCGCAUGAUGGGUCUGGGAAAGAUAUUGUUUCGGUGGGGGAUGGGCUCGCGGCCUAUCAGCUUGUUGGUGGGGUGAUGGCCUACCAAGGCGGUGACGGGUAGCCGGCCUGAGAGGGUGGACGGUCACACUGGGACUGAGACACGGCCCAGACUCCUACGGGAGGCAGCAGUGGGGAAUAUUGCACAAUGGGCGCAAGCCUGAUGCAGCGACGCCGCGUGAGGGAUGGAGGCCUUCGGGUUGUGAACCUCUUUCGCCAGUGAAGCAGGCCUGCCUCGUUUGUGGGUGGGUUGACGGUAGCUGGAGAAGAAGCGCCGGCUAACUACGUG